CCUACGGGAGGCAGCAGUGGGGAAUAUUGCGCAAUGGGCGCAAGCCUGAUGCAGCAACGCCGCGUGAGGGACGACGGCCUUCGGGUUGUAAACCUCUUUUAGUAGGGAAGAAGCGAAAGUGACGGUACCUGCAGAAAAAGCACCGGCUAACUACGUGCCAGCAGCCGCGGUAAUACGUAGGGUGCAAGCGUUAUCCGGAAUUAUUGGGCGUAAAGAGCUCGUAGGCGGUUUGUCGCGUCUGCUGUGAAAACUGGAGGCUCAACCUCCAGCCUGCAGUGGGUACGGGCAAACUAGAGUGCGGUAGGGGAGGUUGGAAUUCCUGGUGUAGCGGUGGAAUGCGCAGAUAUCAGGAGGAACACCGAUGGCGAAGGCAGAUCUCUGGGCCGUAACUGACGCUGAGGAGCGAAAGCAUGGGGAGCGAACAGGAUUAGAUACCCUGGUAGUCCAUGCCGUAAACGUUGGGCGCUAGAUGUGGGGACCAUUCCACGGUUUCCGUGUCGCAGCUAACGCAUUAAGCGCCCCGCCUGGGGAGUACGGCCGCAAGGCUAAAACUCAAAGGAAUUGACGGCUGAGACGNGCGAGACGACGACGAGGGAGAG
rnacentral:rRNA from 1 species